GCAAAAAACAGAUCGAAAAUUGAGUGAAAUGGUUUUCAUGAAACCGCAAAAUUUGCAAACUAGAAAUUAGAGUGAGAUGUUAAGCGAAAAAAUUGGGGGUUAUGUUGAUGGUGUGAAAUUGAGAAUCAUUUUCAUCGUAUUCUUCCUUAGAAUUGUAUCAAACACGCAUAGAAAUCCAUCAACAGGCUAAAAAAACACGUUCACAAACAUCAUACAAUCUGAACUUCGAUCGACGAUCAAAUACAUUGCAUGAGAUUAAAAACCCCGAGACUCCGAGGAGAAAGAUGCCCUAAUUUUUUUUUCUAGAUCAUGUUUGUGAAUUUUUUGCUACGAUAUUAGAAUUUUUACUCUUGUUUAAUUUCUGAACACUACAAAACUAAAAUCAAUAUUUAAAAUGUAUUCCUUGCUGAAAAUCAUAAUAAAGAUAGUAUCAUGUUGGC